GAUGAACGCUGGCUACAGGCUUAACACAUGCAAGUCGAGGGGAAACGACGGGGAAGCUUGCUUCCCGGGCGUCGACCGGCGCACGGGUGAGUAACGCGUAUCCAACCUGCCUCUGACUGAGGGAUAACCCGUCGAAAGUCGGCCUAAUACCUCAUGGUAUCGUCUGCGGGCAUCCAACGACGAUUACAGAUUUCAUCGGUCAGGGAUGGGGAUGCGUCUGAUUAGCUUGUUGGCGGGGUAACGGCCCACCAAGGCUACGAUCAGUAGGGGUUCUGAGAGGAAGCUACCCCAGAAUGGAACUGCGGCCCGGUCCACAAUCGUACGGGAGGGAGCAGUGAGGAAUAUUAGGCAAUGGGGGCGGGCCGGACCCCGCCAAGUAGGGGGCAGGAAGACGGCCCUAUGGGUUGUAAACUGCUUGUAUGCGGGGAUAAAGUAAGGGACGUGGCCCGCAUUGAAGGUACCGAAUGAAUAAGGACCGGCUAAUUCCGUG
rnacentral:rRNA from 1 species